UUUUAUUUCUUCCUUAUCCAGUCAGUGCACACACAGAGAGAGAAAGAGUUCAAGAGUGUUCAAUAAUGCUCUCUAACCUUUUACCAUAACCGACCAUCUCUCCCCUAUUUACUCCUGGCUAUCACCGACAACCGAGAAGGCUCCUACUAUUUAGUGACGUUCAAACGUUCGUCCAUGUGUGUGGACUCUAAUUUUUUUUUCUCCUUCUCGAUAUAUUGCUUUCCCUGCGUCAUUAACAUUUGAGUUGUAGAUGAAAUAAAGGACCAGAUCGUUGAGGCUAGGAGGUCUUUCUCACGAGUCUUUCCUUUCCUGGCUCAACCGCGAGCUUUGUGCUCUGUUUUAAUGAUAUGGUGAUAACAUUCAGAUUAUAGCUUCCCCUAUUCAGCGUUCAAGAGUACUUCCGUUUCUUUUUUCUCCUGGUUCACCACUGUUUAGGCCGGCUAAGUUGAGAUUUGUUAGCUGAUGCUGAUCCUACCAUCAACCUCUAAAGGGCAACAAGCUACAGUGGGUGGACCUUUUGAUUGGUAUUGUUGCUUUAAUGUAAAUAUAUAAUUUGUAUGUCUUUUUGAUUUGAAAGAAAGAGUAUAUACUCCACAUAGGUUGUUGAUAAAUCUUAUUUUUGGUCUGUAUAUUGGUUGCUGGCUAGAGGGAGCUACGCUCUUGAUUUAUACUGUUAUCUGUAAGAAUUUUUGUUGUAGAGUUUUCAGGAGAUCUUAG